rnacentral:rRNA from 1 species
GACGAACGCUGGCGGCGUGCUUAACACAUGCAAGUCGAACGGAAAGGCCCUGCUUUUGUGGGGGGCUCGAGUGGCGAACGGGUGAGUAACACGUGAGUAACCUGCCCUUGACUUUGGGAUAACUUCAGGAAACUGGGACUAAUACCGGAUAGGAGCUCCUGCUGCAUGGUGGGGGUUGGAAAGAUUCGGUGGUUGGGCAUGAACUCGUGGUUUAUCAGCUUGUGGGUGGGGUAGUGGCUUACCAAGGCUUUGACGAGUACCCCCCUGAAGAGGGUGAACGGCCCCAUUGGGACUGAGAUACAGCCCAGUAUCCUACGCGCGGCAGCAGUGGCGAAUAUGGCACAAUGGACGGAGGUGAUAUGCAGUAUCCUCGUGAGCGAGAUCACCGCCUUCACGUUGUAAGCCGCUUAUUCCUGUGACGAAGCCUGUGUGACGAUAAUGGGUAGAGAAGCAACGGCUAACUACGUG